CGAGUCACGUAGCAAUACGUGGCGCACGGCUCAGUAACACGUAGUCAACAUGCCCAAAGGACGUGGAUAACCUCGGGAAACUGAGUCUAAACCGCGAUGAGUCAAGAUUCCUGGAAUGGUUCCUGACUGAAAUCUAUAUGGCCUUUGGAUUGGACUGCGGCCGAUCAGGCUGUUGGUGAGGUAAUGGCCCACCAAACCUGUAACCGGUACGGGCUCUGAGAGGAGGAGCCCGGAGAUGGGCACUGAGACAAGGGCCCAGGCCCUAUGGGGCGCAGCAGGCGCGAAACCUCUGCAAUAGGCGAAUGCCUGACAGGGUUACUCUGAGUGAUUUUCGUUAAGAAAGUCUUUUGGCACCUCUAAAAAUGGUGCAGAAUAAGGGGUGGGCAAGUCUGGUGUCAGCCGCCGCGGUAAUACCAGCACCCCGAGUGGUCGGGACGAUUAUUGGGCCUAAAGCAUCCGUAGCCGGUUCUGCAAGUCUCCCGUUAAAUCCAACUGCUCAACAGGUGGGCUGCGGAGGAUACUACAGAGCUAGGAGGCAGGAGAGGCAAGCGGUACUCAGUGGGUAGGGGUAAAAUCCGUUGAUCCAUUGAAGACCACCAGUGGCGAAGGCGGCUUGCCAGAAUGCGCUCGACGGUGAGGGAUGAAAGCUGGGGGAGCAAACCGGAUUAGAUACCCGGGUAGUCCCAGCCGUAAACGAUGCAGACUCGGUGAUGGGUUGGCUUCGCGCUAACCCAG
rnacentral:rRNA from 1 species